GGUCGCUUAGCUCAGCUGGUUAGAGCGUGGUGCUAAUAACGCCAAGGUCGCGAGUUCGAUCCUCGUAGUGACCA
rnacentral:tRNA from 1 species